GAUGAACGCUGGCGGCGUGCCUAAUACAUGCAAGUCGAGCGAACGGACGAGAAGCUUGCUUCUCUGAUGUUAGCGGCGGACGGGUGAGUAACACGUGGAUAACCUACCUAUAAGACUGGGAUAACUUCGGGAAACCGUAGCUAAUACCGGAUAAUAUUUUGAACCGCAUGGUUCAAAAGUGAAAGACGGUCUUGCUGUCACUUAUAGAUGGAUCCGCGCUGCAUUAGCUAGUUGGUAAGGUAACGGCUUACCAAGGCAACGAUGCAUAGCCGACCUGAGAGGGUGGUCGGCCACACUGGAACUGAGACACGGUCCAGACUCCUACGGGAGGCAGCAGUAGGGAAUCGUCCGCAAUGGGCGAAAGCCUGACGGAGCAACGCCGCGUGAGUGAUGAAGGUCUUCGGAUCGUAAAACUCUGUUAUUAGGGAAGAACAUAUGUGUAAGUAACUGUGCACAUCUUGACGGUACCUAAUCAGAAAGCCGCGGCUAACUACGUG
rnacentral:rRNA from 1 species